CCCUUAGAUGUUCUGGGCCGCACGCGCGCUACACUGAUGCAUUCAACGAGUCUAAAACCUGCUCUGAUAGGGGUGGGUAAUCUUUUGAAUGUGCAUCGUGAUUGGGAUAGAUGAUUGCAAUUUUUCAUCUUCAACGAGGAAUGCCUAGUAAACGCAAGUCAUCAGCUUGCAUUGAUUACGUCCCUGCCCUCUGUACACACCGCCCGUCGCUCCUACCGAUUGAAUGAUCCGAUGAAUAUCAUGGAUUGAGGAUGCAAGUAGGUUCGCCUAUCUUCAUCUUCGAGAAGUGAAGUAAAUCUUAUCAUUUAGAGGAAGGAGAAGUCGUAACA
rnacentral:rRNA from 1 species